rnacentral:rRNA from 1 species
UGCCAGCCGCCGCGGUAAUACGGGGGGUGCAAGCGUUAAUCGGAAUUACUGGGCGUAAAGCGCGCGUAGGCGGUUUGUUAAGUCAGAUGUGAAAGCCCUGGGCUCAACCUGGGAAUUGCAUUUGAUACUGGCAGACUAGAGUAUGGUAGAGGGAAGUGGAAUUCCGGGUGUAGCCGUGAAAUCCGUAGAUAUCUGGAGGAACACCGGUGGCGAAGGCGGCCAACUGGACGAGUACUGACGCUGAGGUACGAAAGCGUGGGGAGCAAACAGGAUGAGAUA